UCUUCUAAGCCCUAAUUCCACAUUUUCUUUUCUUCUCCCUUUCCCCACAUAACCAUAUAUUAUAUUUCCAUUCUCUAAAAUUCAAUAACUUUAUUACAUACUCAAUCACAUACCAAUGCUUAUAUAUUUAAUAUGUAUAUAUAUAUAUAUAUAUAUAUUAGCUUUGAAGAUCAAAUCGAAGAAAUAAAGAAGGAAAAUAUGGCCAAAUUGUUAGCCUUCACCUGCAUUUGCACCUACACCUUCAUCUUUGAUUUUUCUCUAACAAGGCCAUUGAGGUGCAGGUGCUUCUGCAAGUGAAUGCCAUCUUGGCUUUCCCUCCUCCUCCACUGCCACCGCCAUCGUCUCCGCUUUUUUCCUCCUCCUCCUUUUAAAGGGAAGGAAGCAAAUUCUACUACUUCACUUCACCAUCAUAAUUCAUGUGUGGUGUAAUUUGUUUGUUUAAUUUGUUGGAUUUCUUGGUUGAUCAUUCUAGAUUGACUAUUUCUCUAGUAUAUAGUUGUUUUUUUAGGUAAGAUAUACCUCUCAAUUUAUCUCUUAUGUAUCCAAAAAGUUUAUUGAGAUUAAAACCUUACCUUUUAGAAUUGAUACGUUUUGUUGCAAUGUCAAAACACUUGUUCUUCUUAAGAGUAUAAUAUGAAAAAACGAAAAUGAAUUUAGGUUUGUAACAGAACGUUUGUCUCUUAAAUCACAAAUUAAAUAAAAACUGCCCAAAAGAUGAGUUCUCUUAAA